AUUGAACGCUGGCGGCGGGCCUAAUACAUGCAAGUCGAGCGGAGCGGCGGACGGGGGAGUAAUGCCUAGGAAUCUGCCUGUUAGUGGGGGACCACAUCUCGAAAGGGAUCCUAAUACCGCAUACUAAUAGCUGAGCCUAGGGCGGAUCAGCUAGUUGGUGGGGUAAAGGCCUACCAAGGCGACGAUCUGUAGCUGGUCUGAGAGGAUGAUCCGCCACACUGGGACUGAGACACGGCCCAGACGCCUACGGGAGGCAGCAGUGGGGAAAAGUGGGCAAUGGGGGGAAACCUGAACCAGCCAUGCCGCGGGUGUGAAGAAGGGCUUAUGGUUGGAAAGCACUUUAAGUGAGGAGGCGUUACUCGCAGAAUAAGCACCGGCUAACUCUGUGCCAGCAGCCGCGGUAAUUC
rnacentral:rRNA from 1 species